ensembl:processed_transcript 1500004A13Rik RIKEN cDNA 1500004A13 gene
GGGAAGAGGCGGAGCCUAUCUCUCAUCAGGACCAGUCUGACUGCACCUGCAUCCUUAGCUCAGAGCAUCCCUGGAGCAUCUAAGAGGAAAGCGCAGCUAGCAACCAGGGAUCGUACUGCAGGGGCAAUCGGCCAUGCACCUUCCCCUCCCCUGAUCUGGAGGUCUACAGCCGCGGCCUCGGUACUGACCGAGAUUCCCAAAGUUGUCUGACCUCUGCAAAAGUGUUUCUAUCAACAGCCUCUGAUUACAACAUGGCUGAGAUCACAAAUAUACGCCCCAGCUUUGGGGUGUGCUGGAGAGCUUCGCGUACCUACAAGGAAUACUUGCACUGGUCAGCAUCCUUCUGUGGGCCUGCAAUCCUAACCGACAAGGGCACAGAAGGCAGCUGUGCUCACACGGCUCUGAGAGCUCCCUUCACAGGCACUCCUCCGACCCAAGGAGUAACAACACACAGAACAAACAGCAAGGCACAACUCCUUUCCUCGGAGGGGCAACUGGACAGCCUUUAACCCUUUAAAAAUCAGGGACUGAUUUUCACGGGUUCUGACUUCAGCACUGCAUCAUCCAGGUAAGGCAUAUGGAUAUGAAUUCUAAGACACGUCAUACCAAGGUACAGAAUACACAAACUUAGAAUGUUACUAAAACAAUAACAGAAGGAAAAAGUCAUGCCUACCCCUCGGAGGGCCUCCCUUUGCUGAGUUAACUAAGGAGGAAGCGGCACAGUGUGCCUAGACACGCAAGACCGAGGUUCGCUCCCGAGCCCAGCUCUCCCAGCCUGCACACCCUGAGUGCUCAGUGAAGGUCCUAUGUCAGCCCAAUCUGGGAAGUCACAACUUGCCAUUGAGGGGGGCAAUAGCCUAAUCUCUGCGUGAAAGAGAGGUGAGAUGAGUGAGGGUAGGGGCACCGAUGACCAAGCCACACGUCUCCUGCCGGUUGUUAGAGAACGCAGCGGCAGACACAAAGUCUAUUGUGCACCUAGAGAAAAGACUUAAGUUUUUGGUUGUGCUGGGGCUGACCCAGCCUUGCCCAUGCUAGAAUGCUAGACAAGUACUCUGCUGCUAAGCUACCUCCACCCCCACCCCCAGCCCCAAUCAUGUUUAAAGCUUCUUCCUCCAAAGCAGCAGCUACAAAUGCGCAGACUGACAGGAAUGGCAGCAGUUGCCUACCCUGGUGAGAUAAGCCUGUGCGAACGCCAGGUCCUUCUGCUCCCUGAGUGGGUCCCGGUCGAGAAUGUCCUCAUCAUACAGCAACAGCAGCUUGGAGGUGUCCUUGCUGGCCCGAGCCCGACUUCCCCGUUUGUUUCGAGCCCGAUGACUGCUCCGUCCCUUUCCAGCAGCUUUGAUGCUCUCCCCUUGGAGUAGUGAAAAAGAUUCUUUCUCAAUCCCUGAAACUGUGCUAUCCAGCGUAAAGGCCACCCCGUGCACUCCGACUAAUAUCACGGCACAGCUAGGGAAGAAUAGCUAGGUCAGCAGCAGAGCCAGCCUCCAGGACAGCACCAGCACUGCGCAGUGCACCACACGCCCUUCAACAGUGUCCGGGACGCAAGCUGACCAGGAGUUCUGCAGCUGAGAAAGGAGUCCAAGGCUGGGAAGGGGGAGAGGUGGCCUAACAGAAAUACCACCUGAGCUACCUCAAACGACAGAAGAGAAGUUGAAGGAGGAACAUGAAGGCCAAACAGCUCUUAGCCUCAGGCACACAAGAGGCAAGAACCACGGAAAAAACACAGGGCAACCUAGUGUAAACCGGGUGUUGAUGAGGAUUUAAGGCUCUGCAGAGGGGCGGUUCUCGUCUGUCUGGGGAAGGAAGAGAAGCUCCAGGUGACAAAGCGCACUCUGCACUCUGUCUCUGGGCAAUGCAGCUUGGAGAGCUGCUGCACUUACCUGCGGGGGCUAUGCUGGUCUCUAUUUCUGGAGCAGUCUGAGGUGAGGCCAAGGUAGAAGGGGGUUUCUUGGCAGCAUCUCCAACGGCUUCAUCGUUCACUUCAUCCUCUUUUUGCAAGGUUUCCAUUCCUUCUGCCUCUUCUUCCUCCUCUUCUUCUGGCUCAGAGUUCUCCUCCUGGGAGUUCUCUUCCUCAGACUCACCCUCCUGACUCAUCCUCCUUUCAGAUGCCAGCCAAGUCAGUUUCUCCAUUGUUUCCUAAAAGCACCAUUUUGUUGAGGUUUUGUCUGCUGCUCUGCAUUGUAAUGAUAAAAUGUGUACCAGAAGGUCUACUUAUGAGUGAUUUCUCCUGCAUGCCAUCUUUUGUUGUGCAAACCUUGUUCCUUAAUUUAAAGAUACUGGUUGAAUAAAAAUGGCUACAACCAUUAGCAGAGGCAUUAGACAUGGGCAGGCUUUUUAGUUACCUGCUGGUGCAUGGCAGAAAAGCCAAGACAAAGAAAAUGAGGAAGAGGAGAGAGGAGCGGAACCAUGAGCACACGGCCAAGAGAAACAGCAAGUCUUUGGGGAACACCGCGGGGCAGGCAGCCAGGCCAGCAGGUAGGAAAGUAGAUUGGGGGGGACCCCAGUAAUUAUCAAAGCCAAAUACACUAAACAAAGUCUGGGUCUCACUCUUUUGUAAGGAAGUCAGGAUUGGAUUAAACUGGUUGUACUACACCGAAAAUGUUUCCAAGGGCUCCUUGCAGCUCCCAGAAGCUGAAGUACAGCAGCAGCAGCAUAAGGCACAGAGGCAGAGCAGGGCCAACACUGAGAACCAGAGAAGCCUGAGGUCCUGAGGACAGCUUUGCUUAGCAACUUUUUUAAGUACACGUGCUACAUUGCUUUGCUUUGGUUCGGUUCGGUUCGGUUCGGUUCGGUUCGGUUCGGUUUGGUUUGGUUUUUCAAGACAAGAUUACUUUGGCUGUCCUGGAACUCACUCUUUGGUUUGGUUUGGUUUGGUUUGGUUUGGUUUGGUUUGGUUUGGUUUGGUUUGGUUUGGUUUUUCAAGACAAGAUUACUUUGGCUGUCCUGGAACUCACUCUAAAGACCAGGCUGGCCUGGAACAGAGAUCUGCCUGCCUUUGCCUCACAAGUGCUGGGACUUGAUGUGCAACACCAUACCCGACAGUACACUAGCUCUACUGUUUAGCUAUUCCUCAAUUCUUAUGACUAUUUAAAAUUAUUUUUAAUUAUUACUGUAUAAUUUUAAAGUUUUGCCUGUGUGUAGAUCUGUGCACCACAUGCCUGCAAAAGGCAUCAAAUUCCCUUCAACGGAGUUACUAUGGGUCGUGAGCAGCCAUGUGGGUGCUGAGACUUAAGCCUACAUGUGCUGGAAGAACAAGUGACCCUAACUGAAGAACCAUCUCUCCGGGAUUUAUGGGCUAUUCUUUUUAAAGUCACACUUGCUGAUGGCUGUGCUGUGUACAAGCCCCAAGGAACAUGUAUGCCAUGGCACUCGGGACGGGUCCCUGGAAAAUUCAUGAUAGUCAGUCUCUUUAUUACGAUGUGCUACUUGAGUGAGCAACAGAUAACCUCACCCGUAGCCUCGUUGCCAUGAAGGGUUUUUGCUUGCUUCUUUAUUUGUUUUUGUGGCAUGUAAUGUAUGUUCUAGGCAGUCAGUGAGGCGACUCAACAGGUAUAGACACCUGCUGUCCAGUCUGACCACAGAGCUCAGCUCCUGGAACCCACAUGAUGGAAGGAAAUAGCCACGUGUCCUGGUCCUCUGACCUCUGCAUAUGUCAUCGCAAGGACUCACCUACAAAUUAAUGAAUGGCAUAAAACAUUUAAAAAAAAAUUAAGUGUGCUCAAGUAAUUCAAAUUAACACUUCAAUGAGUUCAAUUCAAAGAACAUGUCCCCUAUACACAGCAAUUCACACAGAGGUCAAAACUAUGUUCCACAGAUACUCAAAAGUCAAGUAAGGGUUUAUGGCUAUAAUGUAAUAGAGUAAGCAUUGUACCAAGUCCCCAUUCUACUUGGAGCCGCGCUGGCCCUUACCUGGAGCUCUGGGACAGAGAGCACAGACUCCUCAGAAGCUGAUGACAGUUCAUCUUCUUCAUCUUGGGUGAGGUCAUCAAAGUCCUCCUCCUCCUCUUCCUCAGGCCCGUCCUUCUCCCCUCCAGUGUCUGGUCCUGCUGGGGUUCCCACAGACUGGCCGUCAGCAUUGGCCGAGUCCUCAAGCUUCCCUGGAGGACCGCUCAGCCCCCCGCCCUGGCCCAUGGAGGACAGAGUGCUUUUUGGCAGUCCUCUGCUUGCAUGACUACUUGUUCGUCCCUCAGCAGCAGCGUCUUGGGGCACAGAAGGGGAUUUGGCGGCCUGCGUGUCUUCCCUCUGCAGGACUGUCUGUUUGCUCAUCUCACUGGCACUACUCGGCUUCUCCCGUGGGGACUCACUGUCUAAUUCCAUAGAGCGUUCCUCUUUCACUUCCUCCCCAAUGUCCUGCUUGGGAAGGUUGCUGGAGAUUUCCACCAUGCAAUCUUCAGCUUCCAUCUUGACCAUAUUUAAUAAAUCCUUCGAUGGAGAGCUCAGAGAGUCCUGGAGAUUCUGAGGCAAUGGCUCCACAGCAUGCCCACCAUCUUCUGUUUUCACAACCGUCCAGCCACAGGCACUCUUUUCAGAAGAGCCUUCCUGGCUUUCUGUUUUGACAACAGCCCAGCUGCAGGCACUGGAUUCAGAGAAUGCUUCCUGGCUUCCCGUAUCUGCUGAAGAAUGCCAGGACUUGGGCUCCUCUUUGGAGAAGACAGUGGUACAGAGAGGAGUUAGCUCCUGGGGUUUUAAUUUGGACUCAGGGUUCUGAGGAGCAUUUUUCCCUUCAGCAACAUCCAACUUCACUUGGGCCUUAUCUUCAGGAAUAGAUGUCACAGGAAGAGUCAGAGGAUUGCUGGAAACAAUUAGGGGGGAGAUGGAGGAGGCCACANNNNNNNNNNNNNNNNNNNNNNNNNNNNNNNNNNNNNNNNNNNNNNNNNNNNNNNNNNNNNNNNNNNNNNNNNNNNNNNNNNNNNNNNNNNNNNNNNNNNNNNNNNNNNAUCAGAUGAGGAAUCUGGACCACUGUGUUGCUUGGAGGAACUUCUGACUGAGUUGGCCACGUUGCCAUUUUCCCAGGGUUGAACACAGGCUGAACAGAGGGGCUGGGUUGGAUAAGGAGGGGCUUCUGGACCAAUGGCCGCUUCUGUGGCCAAGCCUUUCUGGAGAAACGCUUGGAACCCGGCUUCAGUUUGAGCACCACACCCUUGGGUAGCAGCAGUGGGUACUGAGGUUCAUCUCCCAGGGCAGGGCUGGCUUUCUGUAAGUGCUGAUCGGUGCUGCUCUCAGUGGCUGUGGUCACACUUCCUCCCUCUGUAGCGCCUUCGGAUAUGUUCCGCAGUUCAUCCUGAAUGGACUGUAGACUGGCCUGCAGGACAAGAACACUCUGCUCUAGAACACAGCAGACGUUAAGGGAAAGGAAAACUUAGCUUUCUGGAUUCUGAGCACUACUGAAAGGGAGCCGCAACAUAGGGUUCCAAGACGGGUAUUUCUCUGCAUCAAUUUUCUAACACAAGAACAUUUCAAUUCUAUAAACUCGUCCAGAAUUUACAUUGGGAAAUUAUCAUGUAACUCCUACAGGAGCUGUCAGUGACUUUUGCCUCACACAGAUUUUGAAGGAAGGCCUGACCUUUAACCAGAAUGGAAGCCGGUGUUCUUCCUUCUCAAAAGGUGGCUUCCACUGAUGUGGCUGGAUCUCUUCACAGCACCUCACCAGAACUGGCAGCUGUUUGGUCUUCUUAUAAAACUAAACAUGAAAACACAGAGUAUAA